rnacentral:rRNA from 1 species
UACGGAGGGUGCAAGCGUUAUCCGGAUUUACUGGGUUUAAAGGGUGUGUAGGCGGACUUUUAAGUCCGUGGUGAAAUCUCCGGGCUCAACCCGGAAACUGCCAUGGAUACUAUUUGUCUUGAAUAUUGUUGAGGUGGGCGGAACGGGUCAUGUAGCGGUGAAAUGCAUAGAUAUGACCGGAACACCGAUUGCGAAGGCAGCCCACUAAGCAAUGAUUGACGCUGAGGCACGGAAAGCGAUG